rnacentral:tRNA from 1 species
GCCCCUGUGGCGGAAUUUGGUAUACGCGAUAGGUUUAGGACCUAUUGGUCGCAAGACCUUAGAGGUUCGAGUCCUCUCAGGGGCA